rnacentral:rRNA from 1 species
CCUACGGGGUGCAGCAGUGAGGAAUAUUGGUCAAUGGGCGCGAGCCUGAACCAGCCAAGUCGCGUGAGGGAGUACUGCCCUAUGGGUUGUAAACCUCUUUUGUCGGGGAGCAAAGGCCGGACGUGUCCGGCUGUGAGAGUACCCGAAGAAAAAGCAUCGGCUAACUCCGUGCCAGCAGCCGCGGUAAUACGGAGGAUGCGAGCGUUAUCCGGUUUUAUUGGUUUAAAAGGGUGCGCAGGCGGAUUUUAAAAUCAGCGGUCAACUCGUGGGGCUCAACCCCAUCCAGCCGUUGAAACUGGGGAUCUAGAGUGUUCGAGAGGUAUGCGGAAUGCGUGGUGUAGCGGUGAAAUGCGUAGAGAUUAGGAGGAACACC